GACGGGAUUGAAAUGUGAUUGAACAUGUAAAACUAGACAUGUAAUGUGGGUUGGACUAACCUUGUCAUGAGAUAGCCUCUACGAGCUUAUGCGUAGGAUAGCUGCCACGAGCUAAUGCGUGGGAUAGCCUCCACGGGUUUACGCGUGGGAUAGCCUCUACGAGCUUAUGCGUAGGAUAGCCUCCACGGGCUUACGCGUGGGAUAGCCUCUACGAGCUUAUGCGUAGGAUAGCCUCCACGGGCUUACGCGUGGGAUAGCUGCCACGAGCUUAUGCGUAGG
rnacentral:lncRNA from 1 species